ACGGGUCUGGGGCAAGCGGUGGCGAUGGUGGGGGAGGUUGAGGCUGGGGAUGGUUAAUGAUGGCCCAAGCGUCCCACGGAAGCUUUCCGGACGGACGGAAGGAAGGGUCGUCGUCGUCUAGAGACAGAGAGCGUCGUCUACCUUUUCCCCAUCAGAACCCUUCGACUUCAUAAAUAUUUUUGUCGAGUAUUUGCAAGGUCUUCUUGAAUUUUUGUAGCGUUUUGUUUUUAGGAAUCGGUUUAACUUCUUAAAUUGUACUGCCUCCUUCUGUAAAUAUUUGACGCCGUUGACUUUUUUUUAUAUAUUUAAUCAUUCG
rnacentral:lncRNA from 1 species